UCGCGGGGUAGGGAACCUUCCUUUCCCCCCUCACAACCCCAUCCGUCAGCCGAUUUGCUUCCUGCCAACCUCCGGCCUUCCCAGCAGCCAGCAAGCUCCUCCCUCGAGUCUAGUUAAGCUUUCCACUGCCACGUCAAUUGAGGCAGAAGGACAGAAGGGAAGCAAGAAGGGAGGGAGCAAAAACCAGAAGAGGGAGGGAGGCUCAGCAAUGCCAGGCGUAGUGGGGGGAGAGAAAGAGGGGACACGGACUGCUCCUGCAGUAGCCGGAGGUGAGCUGCAAAGGCAACUGGCCAAGGUGCAGCAUAGCCCAGGUGGAAGCCAGGUACCAGCCUGACACCAGCACUGGACGAGGAAGGAGGUCGGCAGCUUGCUCCAAAUUGGAAACAUGCAGAGAGCAGCAUUUCUUCUUUUCAGCUGCCAGAAAAGGAUGUUUUUUCAAUCAGGACUUGGACUUUCUUUCACCCCAUCUCUGCCCCCAAAACCCCAUCCCAAAAGCAGGGAGGGGAGAGGACUGAUGAGCUGCUGAUAGCCGGAGAGCAGACUGCAGAGGCUCCACUCCGUCUGCCCAGUGUUCAGACUACCUGUUCAGGACUACGAGAUUGUACAGUAGUCUGCACAUUGGUUAGGCUGUGCUGGGAUACACCACACACUGCCAGUGCUGCACGGGGACAGCAGAGGGACACGCUUGGAGAGGGUGGGCUGCAGGGAGAGCCGCAAGGUUCCCUCAUCCCUCAGCCUGGGAGGACAGAACCCUUCGGAGCCAUGCUUGAUGUUCAUCUUCACCUGCAUGUUCACCAGCCUGCUCACAACCCUCUUAUUCUUCCUCCCUCUCUCUCAUCCCCCUUCUUAUUUCUUUCAGCUUCAUCCACUUGUCCCAGGGGUAGCUGUGUUCAGCGUGGCUUGUGUUUCACAUGCUAAACUUUGCCAUAAAAUGCAGAGAUAGACACAAGGGCCUGGCAGAGUUACAACUGCACUGCGCUUUGCUACCUGAGAAGGCAGGAUUGAGCAUAGGAAGGUGCCUGGAAAAAGGGGAUUUCACAUUGUUCAUCAUUAAUAUAAAGAAAAACCCACAAAGGAUUGAAAGUUGGAGGUUUGGAUGCUCUGGAAGUUGUGUUUGCUUUGAUGUUUGUCUGGAAGAGAAAGAAGAGAAACAGUGAGUGAAAGUAUAAAUGAGGACUGAUUAAGUUAUCCAUGAGAAAACAUGUGAAAAAAGAUGGGUGGAUGAAUGAAAGAGCUCCAGAGAGGAUGCAAAGAGAAGGAACAUGCUCCAGAGAGCACCUGAGAGCAGUGUGAAAGGAAGAAGGACCUCAGAGCAGACCAGUCCCUACAGUCUUUAAACAAGCUGGAUGCUAAAGCCUGGCUGCAGCUGGACCCACCGCAGCAAGCCGAGCACUCACGGGUGUUAGAGAAAAGACAAGGAUUUCUACCAGCUAAGCUGGGCCUCAAGGACACAGACUGCUGGGGGGCGGUGCAGGGAGAGCAGAGGGGAGGGCAUGUUUGUGCAGUGGGGGAAUAAUCUUGGUAUUGAUCAAUAUGUUUAUUUUUAAACUAGAAUUGGGUACAAGACAUUGACAGGUACGGAAUAAGCAGCUAUCUAAUGACUGUCAGUAAGGUCACAUCUUCCCCAGGACAGAAUAGUUUUGUACUUCAAAAAAAGAGAAGGCAUGAAGACAGGGAAAGAGCUCAAGGACAACUGAUGCAGCAGGAAUCAAUAUGAUGCACAAAGUACCCCCCACACACCUGAGAGUACCUAAAACACUGUGCCCACCCCUCCUGUACAUACACAGGACUCAAACACUCUGCCAUUGCAUGCAACACAUGAAUGCUUUCAAACAAAUAAAACCAUAUUCUUCUCAUGUA